GAUGAAGAACGCAGCGAAAUGCGAUAAGUAGUGUGAAUUGCAGAAUUCAGUGAAUCAUCGAAUCUUUGAACGCACAUUGCGCCCCUUGGUAUCCCGAGGGGCAUGCCUGUUCGAGCGUCAUUUCACCACUCAAGCCUAGCUUGGUGUUGGGCGACGUCCUCUUUGGGGACGCGCCUCGAAACGCUCGGCGGCGUGGCACCGGCUUUAAGCGUAGCAGAAUCUUUCGCUUUGGAAGUCGGGGCCCCGUCUGCCGGAAGACCUGCUCGCAAGGUUGACCUCGGAUCAGGCAGGGAUACCCGCUGAACUUAAGCAUAUCAAUAAGCGGAGGA
rnacentral:misc_RNA from 1 species